CAGUUUUUUAAUUUCUUUUUUUGUAAACUCUGCAGUGGAACGUUGCUCAACAUGCUGCGAGCUGGAUUCAAGCCCAGUCCACCAAUUAGGCUUCAGCAGCACCCGGAGGGAAAAAUGCCAUUUACAUUUAAAGGCGGGGGGCCAUCAGAAGAAGCUUGAUGACAUCACAGCGGAAGAGGAGCAACUACAGCCGGUUGGACAAGAUGUGGACACAGCAGUGGAAGUGGUCAGCUCUCCAGUUCUAUGCCGCUUACCCGAGAGGGAUGGAUGCCCUUGUGUAUCAUAUUUUAUUUGAGUCAAUUUCAUACUGUGAAUGCCAAACGGUCGAUCUGCAUGUUGAAUAAAAGAAAACA